UGUUGGUGUGUCUUGAGGACCGCGUUUGGGAAUGCCUGCUGUAUACGAUGCUCACCUGUCUGUGGUCAGUUUCUGUUUCUUUGCCUGGAGGAUGUUAGAGAACGUGUCUAUGAAGCUGAGGAAGAACGCCAGCAUGGACUGCGGACUGUCAGACACGUGGACCUCUGCAGCCUCUGCUUUCAGAUCCACAAAGAGACCGUCCAGCUCAUCCUUGUCAAACAGGUCGGGAACCUCUCCGGAGUUCAGGAUGCAGUUUAUAUCUUCUAGAAAAGAAUCCUGUGCCAGGCACAGAGAUGGCAGGGAACAUAUAUUAUAUAUCACAUAAUCAAUACAUAAUUCUGCAGGAUAUCAAUAGAGAUACCAGCCCGCAAAACAGGAAGACAUCCCCUAGCACAGUCCCGGCUUUUACAGAAAGUCCAUCAGGUUUCUGGAGCCGUUCAAGCAUAUUCUGGAUUAAAGUAGAUUUUCCGACUCCAGAAUCACCUAGAAAUAUGAAAACAAUUGAAGACAACACUGAAGUAGCCAGACAAAUCUAUAGAGACACCUCCACUAUACCCUCAUCUAGAACGCUACAUUAAACAUGACAAUUUAUUCUGCAGAGCUAAUGAUGGUGUAUGAUUGCGCGUUAUGGAGACUGGAGCCGGUUGGUGAGGGUGGGGAUUUAAGGGUUCCUGACUAAAUACUGGCUGAAAGCAAUCGUGCUCUUUAUUUUAAAGCCACCUACAAACACAUGAUGAACUUUUUGAAGUAUAUUUAAAUGUGACUGUAAAUUCCAUGAGCAUUUCCAGUAUAGAGGGGGUCAGACCAUCCCACCCCACCACCCGUCUUGUUACAUAACCUACAAGGUGGCAAAGAUUGGGCCACAGCCUAUACUUCCAAAGGUGGCUUUUUAGCUUCUAGACCAGUGAUGGUCACCAGUUGGCACCAAUCAUCCAUGAUUUCACCUGCACCCACCAGACACUCUGUGCUUUAUGCCCCAUAUGUCCUCUUGUCUUCAUUGUGGACCCAUCAGCCUAAGCAUUUUCUGUGAUUCAUGCCCCAACGCUUACACUUGUGAGCAUUCUCCAUCCCGGAGAACACAACAAAAGCAAGAGUUAGCCGGAUAGUAAUCUCUAUGCAGAACCAUGAUGCGCCUCUUCCAGCUCCUACUUACACAAAUUGGUGGAAAACCCGGUCAUGCAGGAGUCAUCCUGACAUGCCCGCUGGUAACUUAUUACAGAUAUGGGUCUCUUUCUUAGCCUAACCUAUCACUGAGAUGAAAGGUAACCUACGACCAUGGUGACUGUUACAGGGCUCCACAUGGCCCCCUGAAAGACAAUUCCAGUGUCCCUAAUCCUAACGGGUUAUAAAUGAGGCAACAAUAAACAUUUGAGGAGAAAAAUGGAAUCGCUGAAAUUAAU